UGAUAAUAGGCAUAAAUAAUACUGUGCAGGUUGCUUAUGCAGCUGUUCUGUUGGGAUUCUUGUUUGGGAGUCCUCUGGCUGAUUUAUUCUGUUAUGCUUCAGCAGAUGCUUUCUGCCACCUACCGUUUGCUUUGCAACACUGCUGGUUAUUUUAGUUCCCUACUUGGAUUUUCAAUGCUCUGACCCUACUGGAGUAAUUUUUUUUUUUAUCUAAAUGGUUUAAUUGUUUGAUUUUUUUUGUUGUUUUUUUCCUCUUGGAUUAGCUGUGCAAAUGCUUGAUGUAACCUGUGGUUUAUAUAAAGAAUGUCUGGGCUGACUAGAACUGUCAGAGAAGAGUUGUACAGUUGGGACCUAAGGGGGGGGUCACAACAGGGAUAAUGUGGAGGCCUUUAUCUGUUUUCUUCCAGACAGCAACUGCUGAUAGUGGCAGAUCUGGGAGUUUACCACUCUACCUCCAAUCUCUAAUCUAAGUGUUGUUCAGGAUGCGAGCACGGAUGUUGGCUGUGCCUGCUAGCUUAGUGCUUCCAUUUCUCCUUGUUUCUGUUCCCAUCCAUCCAUUUAUAUCUAUGAUGACAAGUCAUGGGGUUUAAGAAAACAAAUCGAACAUCCUGCCUAGCAGGUGUGAAUGAAAACAGGAGGAAAAAAGUUUUGUAGAACUGUUGCAACAAGUAGGUUGCAACUUAAUGAAGCAAAUCAAUUAAAGCUUGAUGUAGAAUGUUUCAAACUCUACACGUUUGAAGGCAUUAAUCUCUGAAACAGUAACAGUAAUUAGUUUGGCACUGUCACUAACAGUGAGUUGUGAGAUAGAGUAGCUCAGCCUUCUAACAUACUGUAAUAAAUAUAUGGCCCAGAACUGCUGUGAAAACAAGACCGUCUGUUCAUAUGUCAGUCAGGAAAACACUAGACCUAUAAAUUAACUAUCUGGUUUAUUGCCUCGAUGAGCAAGACUUGUGGGGUUGGAUUUGUUUUAUUUUUUUCCUGUUAUCUGGAACUCAGAGUCCCGGGUACUGAGUAAUAUACUGUGCAAAUACAGCCUGCAAGAGUAAUUACAGAACAGUUAAUUGGAACCCAUUGCUGCCCCACCACCUGAAAGCAGUGUUCCAGUCCUUCAGCAGCUCAACAGGAGUUGCUGAUUUUUCCAGUUCUUAUAAUUGGGUAGCAAUCAUACAUAGUAUACCUGCAUGAGAAUGUAUUUUUAUUUCUGCUUUGCUUUGCUUUUAUUACUGCUGCUCUUUUGCUAACCUUACAGAUGCUCUGAUUUAGAGGUAUGCCAGAGGAAUAUCUCAAAAAGAAAAUAUCAAAGGUGAUGUGACAGGAUUACUGCUUUUCUUCUACAUCAUCCGGUGUUACCAGAGUUCGUUUGAGAUUGUACUUGCUGUCAGCUCUGAUCUUUGCAUGGCUUUUCUUGGCUCAACAAACGUGACUCAGUGGAUUAAUGACUGUUACUACUUCACCUGUCACCAUGCCAUAAAUCAAAGGCCCUGUAAAGACUUUGGGGAAAGCGCAGUGAGGCUGAGCUCAGCAGCUCAUAGCGGGCUGAGGGGAUCCCUUGCUUGGUGCGUUGAGGUGAGUUGCAGCUCGGUUUCACUCUGAGGCUCUGAUGGUUUAUUUUCUGAUUUUGAUGCGGAAAAGAAAGUUACCACGCACCAGCAGGCAAGCUGCUAGAUAACGAAAUCUACUCAGAGCCGGAGGUACGGGCAGGCUUGGAGCCAGCAGCAGCGGGCUGGGGCUCACUGCCCGCCUGCCCUCCCGGCCUUUGCCCGCCCGCUG
ensembl:lncRNA